rnacentral:miRNA from 1 species
UAUUACGUUGGUGCCAAAGUAAUUGCGGUUUUUGCCAUUACUUUCACUUGCAAAAAAACACAAUUACUUUUGCACCAACCUAAUA